rnacentral:miRNA from 1 species
CUAAGCACAGCUCUCGCAUCC